UGUCCUUACAGCCCACUCAGCCAUCCUCUGGAGAGCCUAAAACAUCCAUUGAAUGUUCGUGUGCCAAUUAUUUCUGGGGCCACUCCUCAGUUCUUGCUUACCCACCCGUCUAGAGUCCUAGAUAUGGGUGAACCCAGUAUUUCAGCCCAUGUCCAAGGCCAGGACAAGACAGCCAUUGCACCUCCAGUCCUCCAGAGUUUAGAGGCUCUACACCAUGGGACCCCGAGCCCCAACCAGAUAUGUCCCCAGAGACCCCAGAGAAGUGCUGGCUCUGCGUUUUCAGAGCACAGUAUUCCAUCUUGUGUUGUCCAGAACCAAGUCAAGAUCUGUCUCGGAGUUCUGUCUGGAGAACCAAAGACAGCAGAGAAGCCCACACGUCCCCAGCCAGAGAUGGUCCACCAGCAUGAAAAGUACUAGUACGUGGAUGUCUGUGAGAAGAGCAUCCCAAGCUGUAAGCUGAGCAAGGCG